rnacentral:rRNA from 1 species
CCUACGGGAGGCUGCAGUGAGGAAUAUUGGUCAAUGGACGUAAGUCUGAACCAGCCAAGUCGCGUGCAGGAUGACGGCUCUAUGGGUUGUAAACUUCUUUUAUAAAGGAAUAAAACUCUGCACGUGUGCCUUUUUGCAUGUACUUUAUGAAUAAGGAUCGGCUAACUCCGUGCCAGCAGCCGCGGUAAUACGGAGGAUGCGAGCGUUAUCCGGAUUUAUUGGGUUGAAAGGGAGCGUAGACGGGUUGUUAAGUCAGCGGUGAAAGUUUGCGGCUCAACCAUAAAAUUGCAAUUGAUACUGGUGGUCUUGAGUAGAGUUGAGGUAGGCGGAAUUCGUGGUGUAGCGGUGAAAUGCUUAGAUAUCACGAAGAACUCCGAUUGCGAAGGCAGCUUACUAAGCUGUAACUGACAUUGAGGCACGAAAGUGUGGGGAUCAAACAGGAUUAGAUACCCGGGUAGUC